rnacentral:tRNA from 1 species
AGAAAGGUAUUAUAAAGUAAUAAAAUUAGUUUACACCUAAUGAAUAAAUUGAAGUUUCUUUUCUU